CCUAGCCCACUUAACGGUUUAACCUGAGCUAAUUUAGAGGAUCAAGGAGGCUCAGCUGGCUGAUUCUACUUUAGCAGCCAUCAGGAAGAAUAUAGAAUUGGGGUUAGACCCCAGGUUCUGAGUUUCUGCUAAUGGGUUAAUCAGGCUCCAAGACAUAUUAUGUAUCCCGAGUGACAUUGAUUUAAAAAGAGAUAUCAUAACGGAGGCUCAUAGUUCGAAGUUCACCAUGCAGCUUCGAUUUUGGUAAAAU
rnacentral:lncRNA from 1 species